CGUGUAGGCGGACUCGCAAGUCGGUUGUGAAAUCCCUGGGCUCAACCUAGGAACUGCAUCCGAAACUGCUUGUCUUGAGUAAUGGAGAGGGUGGCGGAAUUCCCGGUGUAGAGGUGAAAUUCGUAGAUAUCGGGAGGAACAUCAGUGGCGAAGGCGGCCACCUGGACAUUUACUGACGCCGAGACGCGAAAGCGUGGGGAGCAAACAGGAUUAGAUACCCUGGUAGUCC
rnacentral:rRNA from 1 species